GGAUAGCUCAGCCAGUAGAGCAUGAGACUUUUAAUCUCAGUGUUGUGGCUUCAAAUCCCAUGUUGGGCA